CCAAGUUAUCCAACAAUGGUUGUGUUGGUGCUGCCUGCUGGAUUCCAAAAUACAAGAUAGUCCUUCAAUACAAAUGCCCCCCUGAAACAUCGGUAUUUACAGGAGAGUCUAUUGCUAUAUUAGAAGCUACCCUUUUUAUAGAGUCCCAUAACGUACAACAGUCAAUUAUACUGACCGACUCUUUAAGUUGCCUGCAAGCACUUAAAGGAAAUCCCUUCCGUAGUAAAGCUCUGAUCUCCAUCAUCUUUAAAAUCAAAGAAACUCUAUACUCCUGUCAUCAAAAAGGUCUCUCUGUUACAUUGGCAUGGAUCCCAGGUCACUCUGGUAUAAAAGGUAAUGAGAGUGCAGACUCCUAUGCAAAGCUCGCCACUGAAUCAGGUUCUCUAACAUAUUUUAAGAAUCACUCCCAGGAUCUGCGUGCUCUUGCAAAAACUGAACUUAUUAAUUCUUGGAACACAUUGUGGAUUGAAUCAAAAUCGGUUAAAGGUAAAUAUUAUGCUUCUUUGCAAUCUGAAAUUCCUCGAAGACCGUGGUUCUUUUUUCAUCAAAAUAUGGUUCGUUGGGUUGCUUCAACUAUCACCCGGUUACGUAUUGGGCACUCUUGCACUCCAGUCCAUUUGGCCAAACUGAGAAUUAGAGAUCACUCUUUGUGCGAAUGCGGUUUGGAUGAAGGGUCACCCUCCCAUAUCCUCUUUUCCUGUCCAAGACUUGUAUAUAAACUUUAUGAUGUUCUCCCUACUAAGAUCCCUCGCCCCCUAAGUGUUGAAUGUCUCUUAAUGUUAUUUACUAACAUCAUAACCCAUCUAGUCCAGUUACCACAAAUCGGACUGGGAUUGUCCAGAAAAGACUUGGGUGUAAAUAAACUGUUCAGCCUCCUUUGUGUUUUCUCCAAACAACGCGUCUUUGGCGAAGUGAAUUGUGCUGUGUGGCACAACAAAAAGCCACUAAAAUAAACAACAACAACAACUAC